rfam:Oryza meridionalis cultivar OR44 (W2112) chromosome 1, whole genome shotgun sequence.
AACAACCGUAGUUGUGGGUUUCAGUGUCAAAUUUUAACUAUCCGUCUUAUUUAAAAUAUUUUCUUAUAAUUAGUAUUUUUAUUGUUAUUAGAUGAUAAAAUAUAAAUAAUACUUUAUUCGUGACUUAAGUUUUAAUUUUUUUUAUAAAUUUUUUAAAUAAGACAGACGAUUAAACGUCGGGAACGUAAACUUAUAACUACACUUUAA